UCUGAUUUGCAUGGAUGGACUCUCCCCCUCUCAGAGUAUGAAGAGAGGGAGAGAUCUGGGGGAGGCUCAGCUUCAGCUGUGGGUAGAGAAGACAGGACGCAGGACAAUCUCCAGCAUGGCCAGCUUCCCUCUCCUCCUCACCCUCCUCACUCACUGUGCAGGGUCCUGGGCCCAGUCUGUGCUGACUCAGCCACCCUCAGCGUCUGGGACCCCCGGGCAGAGGGUCACCAUCUCUUGUUCUGGAAGCAGCUCCAACAUCGGAAGUAAUUAUGUAUACUGGUACCAGCAGCUCCCAGGAACGGCCCCCAAACCCCUCAUCUAUGAUAAUAAUAAGCGGCCCUCAGGGGUCCCUGACCGAUUCUCUGGCUCCAAGUCUGGCACCUCAGCCUCCCUGGCCAUCAGUGGGCUCCGGUCCGAGGAUGAGGCUGAUUAUUACUGCGAAGCAUGGGAUGACAGCCUGAAUGGUCCCACAGUGCUCCAGGCCUAG